rnacentral:rRNA from 1 species
UCAACUUGAGAGUUUGAUCCUGGCUCAGAACGAACGCUGGCGGCAGGCUUAACACAUGCAAGUCGAACGCAUCGCAAGAUGAGUGGCAGACGGGUGAGUAACGCGUGGGAACAUACCCUUUUCUACGGAAUAGCUCUGGGAAACUGGAAUUAAUACCGU